GUAGGUGGCAAGCGUUGUCCGGAAUUAUUGGGCGUAAAGCGCGCGCAGGCGGUUCUUUAAGUCUGAUGUGAAAGCCCACGGCUCAACCGUGGAGGGUCAUUGGAAACUGGAGAACUUGAGUACAGAAGAGGAAAGCGGAAUUCCACGUGUAGCGGUGAAAUGCGUAGAGAUGUGGAGGAACACCAGUGGCGAAGGCGGCUUUCUGGUCUGUAACUGACGCUGAGGCGCGAAAGCGUGGGGGAGCAAACAGGAUUAGAUACCCUGGUAGUCCGCGCCGUAAACGAUGAGUGCUAAGUGUUAGGGGGCUUCCGCCCCCCCCUUAGUGCUGCAGCUAACGCAUUAAGCACUCCCGCCUGGGGAGUACGGCCGCAAGGCUG
rnacentral:rRNA from 1 species